rnacentral:rRNA from 1 species
GAUGAACGCUAGCGGCAGGCUUAACACAUGCAAGUCGAGGGGCAGCAUAAAACAUUGCUUGCAAUGUUUGGUGGCGACCGGCGCACGGGUGCGUAACGCGUAUGCAACCUACCUAUAACAGGGGGAUAACACUGAGAAAUUGGUACUAAUACACCAUGGUAUUGAGUUUAGGCAUCUUUACUCAAUUAAAGAAUUUCGGAAACGGAUAGGCUCGCGUGACAUUAGCUGGAUGGCGGGGUAACGGCCCACCAUGGCGACGAUGUCUAGGGGUUCUGAGAGGAAGGUCCCCCANACUGGUACUGAGACACGGACCAGACUCCUACGGGAGCAGCAGUGAGGAAUAUUGGGUCAAUGGGGCGAGAGCCUGAACCAGCCAAGUCGCGUGAGGGAUGACGGUCCUACGGAUUGUAAACCUCUUUUGUCGGGAGCAAGAGCUCUACGUGUAGAGUAGUGAGAGGUACCCGAAGAAAAAGCAUCGGCUAACUCCGU